rnacentral:rRNA from 1 species
CCUACGGGGGGCAGCAGUGAGGAAUAUUGGUCAAUGGACGCAAGUCUGAACCAGCCAUGCCGCGUGCAGGAAGACGGCUCUAUGAGUUGUAAACUGCUUUUGUACGAGGGUAAACGCAGAUACGCGUAUCUGUCUGAAAGUAUCGUACGAAUAAGGAUCGGCUAACUCCGUGGCAGCAGCCGCGGUAAUACGGAGGAUUCAAGCGUUAUCCGGAUUGAUUGGGGUUAAAGGGUGCGUAGGCGGUCGGAUAAGUUAGAGGGGAAAUCCCGAGGCUCAAAUUCGGAAUUGCCUCUGAUACUGUUCGGCUAGAGAGUAGUAGCGGUAGGCGGAAUGUAUGGUGUAGCGGUGAAAUGCUUAGAGAUAAUACGGAACACCGAUUGCGAAGGCAGCUUACCAAGCUACUUCUGACGUUGAGGCACGAAAGCGUGGGGAGCAAACAGGAUUAGAUACCCUUGUAGUC